rnacentral:lncRNA from 1 species
CGCGGCUUGUGGGCAGAAUGUUGCAUCACACUAAUCACGGUGAGGAAGCCUCCCCCGAGUUCGCGUUGUCCUUCUUCGCGUAUUACCUUAACGAGUCGAGAUUUGGGGCGCUUGGCGGGGCUUUGGUGCGCUCUGGCGAGCCUUGCCACCGUGGGCAGGGUGCCUCCGGCGUAGUGCUGGGUCGGGGAGAGAAGAAGAUCCCUAGGCCGUUGAUCCGGUAUCAUGCGGCUGUGAAUAGAAUACAUGUAUCCCUUGCGUGAGUGAUCCAGUCCAUUAGAUGGAGAUCAGGCAACUGGGGUUACUAGCAGGGUUGGGCUAUUGGCGCCAGUGCGGGCUAUUCAUGACCGCCUGAUGAGGAUCCGACGGCUAGUAUACAUGGAUACCGUUUCGUGAAUGAAAUUUUGUUAAAGACCCCCUGGAAAUCACAGAAUGAACCCGCGGUCCACGUUAGCUGUUCACUGAGCCUGUGGAGUCUUGUGCUAGGCCCCUUGUACUUUUCUAUAAAUGAGGCCCGGUCCAGUGCUGAUUUAAAUGGAAUAACUGAAUUGAAAAAUAGUUUUUUUAAUACAAAAAUAUAUGCUAGAACUUGAUUAAAUCAUAGAAAAUCCAUUUUUAGUCCAAAUUGACCCAUUCCACUUUCUAAUUUUUUGUAAUAUUUUUUUCUAUCAACUAGAGUCUCUGUUUUGUCAUGAAAAUAGUAAGUAAAUUUAUUUCCCACUUAAUCCUAUUUUAAGCACAUAAAACCUUUGGAAAUUCAUAACUUAAAAUCUAUAACUCCAAAAAUUAUGAUUUAUAAUCCUAGGAUUUUAUUUUAAUGUGUAGAUUAUUAUUAUGUAUUUUGUUUACAUGUUUGGUGUGAUGUUAAUUUUCGCUAUAUACUAUGCUUGUUUGUAUUGUGGCGAGUAGAAGAACCUGUGACUGAGGAUCCUGGUGACCAGCAGAUAGAAGUAGCUGAGCAGGAGCUCAUUGAAGGCAAGUUGUGCCCUUGACCACUUUUAUACCCAAUAAUGUUCUUUAAUGUCAUUUAUUCAUGCAUAGGUUAAUUUUUAUGGGACCCAAUAGGUCACCCUAGAUUGUUCAUUCCUUUUUACCUUGUUAUCCCUUAAUCACAUGGGUAGUUUUGCUAUUGCUUUACAUAGUUUUGGGAUAAUCUUUCAUUAUAUCCAUGUUCCAAUUCUUUUGUUAUUCUAUUUAUGUUCAUGUCAAGAUCAUUAAUGUUAAUUGGAACAUGGAGCUUAACUUGAGAAACACAUGCCACCACAAGGGUUUAAUGGGUCGCCCUUAGCCAACUAACUAGGAAACAUAGUGGAAGACUACCUUACCCGAAAGGGGCAAGGGCAGUAGGGGAUUGCAUGCAAGGAGGUUCUCGGGUUGAUUUUGCUGCGAUGGCGGUCAGACGGGGGAUUCUUGCAAGUUCUCUUCCCAUAAACUGUAGCGGGUUUUCGGAAGCUAGUGGAACUUUGUAAAGGCCUUGUAGUGGAUCCCUAGCCAUUCACCUCGGCAGUGUCUAAGGGUCUAGCUAACCCUGGCGACAUGGGAUACACGACUUGUGGGUACAGGGUACAACCUCUGCAGAGUGUAAAACUGGUAUACUAGCCGUGCUCGCGGUCAUGAGCAGCCCAGGACUCUCUGAUGAUUGAAUUAUGGAACUUAAAUUCAAUUUGUCAUAUGCAUUGCUUGGGAUUUGUUAUUAAUUUUGUUCUAUUAUUAUUAUUAUGGUUUGGUAUUUACUUACACUUAGUAACUACUAAUAAAAUUUUGACCAACUUAUUAAAAGCAAUGCUCAGCUUUAACCCCUGUCAUUGAUCAGCCUUACACAUCACAUGAACUCUCACCUUUGGUGAGUUCAUGUCCACUGGUUCCCCACAACUUGUUGAGCUAUGAUCAUGUGUGAGCUCACCCUUGCUGUCUCACACCCCCCCACAGGAGAAGAACAGGUGGUUCAAGAGGAGCCACAGGGCGAGGAGUUUGAUCUAAUCUAGGUGGUGUUUUCCCCAAUUGACUUCUGCGCCAAGGACGACCCUUAGUUCGUUUUAUAUUUACUAUUUUAUUUUGUAAUAAGACUUCCACUAUGUAAUAAAUGCUCUGAUUAUUGUGACAUUUAUCUCUAUACACUCUGUUAUUAUA